rnacentral:lncRNA from 1 species
GCAUGUAAAUGUACUUUGUUUGGUCAUCCUGAGGGUAGCUGUAAGCAUCCGGGCACCGACUCUUGAAAAACCUAGAGAAAUCUGUAGGUUCACAGCUCCCAGAAUUGCAGUAAUAUUGAUUAGUCUUGAACACAGUGCAAGGGUUGUUGCAGCCUCCUUCAGCCCUCAGUUGGCUAGGACACUGCCCGUUAAUAUCAGCCGUACAUUUGAUACCCCUAGUGCACCCAUUAGACGUGGGACUAAAGUCCAUGGGAACAUUAAAGCCAUCAACAAGGGAAAUGUCAAAGAAAUCCAAGUUGUUAAAUUGGU